ACGGGUGAGUAACGCGUGGGAAUCUACCGUGCCCUGCGGAAUAGCUCCGGGAAACUGGAAUUAAUACCGCAUACGCCCUACGGGGGAAAGAUUUAUCGGGGUAUGAUGAGCCCGCGUUGGAUUAGCUAGUUGGUGGGGUAAAGGCCUACCAAGGCGACGAUCCAUAGCUGGUCUGAGAGGAUGAUCAGCCACAUUGGGACUGAGACACGGCCCAAACUCCUACGGGAGGCAGCAGUGGGGAAUAUUGGACAAUGGGCGCAAGCCUGAUCCAGCCAUGCCGCGUGAGUGAUGAAGGCCUUAGGGUUGUAAGGCUCUUUCACCGGAGAAGAUAAUGACGGUAUCCGGAGAAGAAGCCCCGGCUAACUCCGUGCCAGCAGCCGCGGUAAUACGAAGGGGGCUAGCGUUGUUCGGAAUUACUGGGCGUAAAGCGCACGUAGGCGGAUAUUUAAGUCAGGGGUGAAAUCCCAGAGCUCAACUCUGGAACUGCCUUUGAUACUGGGUAUCUUGAGUAUGGAAGAGGUAAGUGGAAUUGCGAGUGUAGAGGUGAAAUUCGUAGA
rnacentral:rRNA from 1 species